ensembl:lncRNA
CAUAAAUACCAACUUUUUUUUUUUCAAAUUUAAGGGAAAAUUUCUUAUUACCGCAACGUGUUCAUGACUGGAUUUGGGUUCCUUGAGGUGGAAUUUUUUAUAAUUAAAAAAUAUAAAAAAUAAAAAGCUUCAGUGCAUGUUAUACUAUAAACAUUUACAGUAAAUAAACAUGUGGUAUUUGGUGGUCAUUGGUAAAUGUAGUAAAAAUAAUAAGGAAUAUAACUGUGUCCAAGACCAAUUUUCUCAUCCUCCGCAACAAUUUUCAAUCAUUGUUUAAGUCCUCAAGGAGCUAACAUUUUCAAGGAGUUUUGUUGGAAGGGACAUAAUUGACUGUGACACUCAAGAUGGCUACCAGGUAAGCAGUUCUUAUUUUUUUUCUGCAGAUAAAAGUUACAAUUUUGUUUGUCAUAGUACCUACACAACUUUUUAGUUCUCAUUACCGAAACAUGAGUUUGUGAAGUUUAAAAAAAUGUUGCCGUUUUAAUUUUUUGAUAACUAUAUAUCCCAUUAUGGUCUAAAUAUAAAAAGAGAGGGAAAGUUUAGCUAACCCUCAUUUAGCUUCCACAGUAAGCAAAAAUGUUUAAGGUCGCUCAUCCUCCGCAAUACCAUUAUCAUUCACCGCAACAAUUGAAGGCCUGUUGCGGUGGAGAUACUCAAUGUUUCGGUAAUGAGAAACAGACUUAUGAAGGAGGAACGUGCACUAUAACUCUUGCUAAUUUCAAUAUAACUUGAUAUUUGCCUUAAACACUUCUUGAACAGAUUGCGUAAACAAAAUAGCCAUUACAACCCCCCCAGAAGGGGUCACUAAUUUUUCAUUUUUAUGAAGUGCUUCCACAAAAAGCAGUAUGAAUGCAGUAUAGGCCACCUACUAUAAAUGUAAUAUUAUUUAAUAUUUUUACUGUGAAACAAUGUAUUUCUAUGUCUUUUUUAAGAAAUGUUACAUUCAAUCAAAAUGGAUAUUGUAUAUUUUGUUACAGGCAAGCAUCAGUUGAAAAGAAAAGGGCAUCAGCGAAAGACAGGCUGGCAAAGCAUAGGGAAAAAAUAUACAGUAAUCCAGUGUUACUUGAGGAGUACAGAAGAAAGGAGAGAGAAAGGUAUCGGAAACGUAAAGAAAAUGGUAAAAUAGACAGCAUGAGAGAAAAAAAAAAUUUGGAAGAAAAAUUCGGCAAAAUAUUACAGAAAAAAAAAAGCAAGAGCAAGCACUUCUAGAUCUAACCCAAACAUCUUCAUUAAGUGAGACAGAAAAUUCCUUUGGAAAUGAAGAAAAUAACAGACAGGAACAAGACACAAAUAAUGAAGUCUGAACAGAACACCAGCAGAAGAAAGUUUAGAUCUGACAGGGCCAAUUGAGGCAUCCACCCCCAGAGAACACGGCCAGUCAUUAAAAAAAGAGAGCGGGCAUCAAGGACUCUGGCCAAAUUAAAAGCAAAACUAAGGU